rnacentral:rRNA from 1 species
UUCUAAAAGAGUUUGAUUCUGGCUCAGGAUUAACGCUGGCGGUAUGCAUAACACAUGCAAGUCGAACGAGGAUAUUUUCCCUAUACUGAUUGCAAGCUCAAAAAGCUUGCUACUAGUAUAGGGGAAAUAAGCCGAGUGGCGAACGAGAGAGUAAUACGUUGGUACCUUCCCUAUACUCAGGAAUAACUCCGCGAAAGCGGAGCUAAUGCCGGAUGACCAUGUACCGUAACUGGUACAUGGAAAGUUUUUCGGUAUAGGAGGGGCCUACGGCCUAUCAGCUAGUUGGCGAGAUAAAAGCUCACCAAGGCUAUGACGGGUAGCUGGUCUGAGAGGACGACCAGCCUCGCUGGGACUGAGACACGGCCCAGACUCCUACGGGAGGCAGCAGUGAGGAAUUUUCCACAAUGGACGAAAGUCUGAUGGAGCAAUACCGCGUGCAGGAUGAAGGCCUUCGGGUCGUAAACUGCUUUUUAUAAGGAGCAACUAUGAGUUUACUUAUAGAAUAAGUCACGGCUAAUCACGUGCCAGCAGCCGCGGUAAUACGUGAGUGGCAAGCGUUAUCCGGAAUCAUUGGGCGUAAAGCGUCCGUAGGGGGAUAUUCAAGUGAAAUGUUAAAUCCUUCGACCCAAUCGAAGCCCUGCAUUUCAUACUGUUUAUCUAGAAGAUAGGAGAGGUAAAUAGAAUUUCCGGAGUAGGGGUAAUAUCCGUAGAGACCGGAAGGAAUACCAAUAGCGAAGGCAAUUUACUGGCCUAUUCUUGACCCUUAAGUGACGAAAGCGUGGGGAGCAAACAGGAUUAGAUACCCUGGUAGUCCACGCCCUAAACAAUGGAUACUCGACGUUCGGAGGAAUCGACCCCUCUGAGUGUCUAAGUUAACACAUUAAGUAUCCCGCCUGGGAAGUACGAUCGCAAGAUUAAAACUCAAAGAAAUUGACGGGGAUCCACACAAGCGGUGGAGCAUGUGGUUUAAUUCGAUGGUAAGCGAAGAACCUUACCAAGGUUUGACAUCCUACUAACGCCCUGGAAACAGGGAAGUGCCCGAAAGGGAAAGUAGAGACAGACGUUGCAUGGUUGUCGUCAGCUCGUGGCGUGAGAUGUCGGGUUAAGUCCCUAAACGAGCGCAACCCUCGGGCUGUGUUGUAUUUCUCACAGCCGACUGCCAGCGUAAGCUGGAGGAAGGUGGGGAUGACGUCAAAUCAGCAUGACUCUUACACCUUGGGCGACACACGUGCUACAAUGGAGCGCACAACGAGAAGCAAGAGCGCAAGCUGGAGCAAAUCUCAAAAAACGUUCCUCAGUUCGGAUUGAGGGCUGCAACUCGCCCUCAUGAAGUUGGAAUCGCUAGUAACCGCCGAUCAGCCACGCGGCGGUGAAUAUGUUCCUGGAUCUUGUACACACCGCCCGUCAAGUCAUGGAAGAAGGGAGUACCAGAAGACCCACUUUAGUGGAGACAAGGUAAUACUUUUGACUGGGACUAAGUCGUAACAAGGUAUCCGUAGGGGAAUCUGCGGAUGGAUCACCUCCUUU